GAGGAAAAGAAACUAACAAGGAUUCCCCUAGUAACGGCGAGUGAAGCGGGAAGAGCUCAAAUUUGAAAUCUGGUAGCCUUCGGUUGCCCGAGUUGUAAUCUAGAGAAGUGUUUUCCGCGUUGGCCCAUGUACAAGUCCCUUGGAACAGGGCGUCAUAGAGGGUGAGAAUCCCGUCCUUGACAUGGACCCCCAAUGCUUUGUGAUACACUUUCAACGAGUCGAGUUGUUUGGGAAUGCAGCUCAAAAUGGGUGGUGAAUUCCAUCUAAAGCUAAAUAUUGGCGAGAGACCGAUAGCGAACAAGUACCGUGAGGGAAAGAUGAAAAGCACUUUGGAAAGAGAGUUAAACAGUACGUGAAAUUGUUGAAAGGGAAACGAUUGAAGUCAGUCAUGCUCUUUGGAUUAAGCCGUUCUGCGGUGUAUUUCAUUGAGCGGGGUCAACAUCAGUUUUGAUCGCUGGAAAAGGGCAGGAGGAAGGUAGCACUCUCGGGUGAACUUAUAGCCUCUUGUCGUAUACAGUGAUUGGGACUGAGGAACGCAGCAUGCCUUUUGGCCGGGAUUCGUCCACGUACAUGCUUAGGAUGUUGACAUAAUGGCUUUAAACGACCCGUC
rnacentral:rRNA from 1 species